AUUUUUACUGUUUUCUCUUGAUUCAGAUCAUCCACAAUGAAAGGUUUAUUGGUUAGCCCAAAGUGAAAUCUGCUAUUGUUCCUAAUCAACAUCCUUGUCAUAAUUCUUCUUCGAUCUUCUUCUGUUAGUUCUAACAAGUCUAUUUGAUACUUGACUAAUUUAGUCUUGCUCCUACAGAGCUCCAAGAAACAAACAAGAAGAUGGAUAAAUCAUGGAUGAAAGAAGAUAGGAGAUCACUAAAGUUUCAUAUAG